AUAACUACCACUAGGAGUAGCACAUGGAUUACUGACGUAAACUUCUUCUUCGUGGUCGUCGUCACAUUCGUCGUU
rnacentral:antisense_RNA from 1 species